rnacentral:rRNA from 1 species
GGGCGUUAAGUUGCAGGGUAUAGACCCGAAACCCGGUGAUCUAGCCAUGGGCAGGUUGAAGGUUGGGUAACACUAACUGGAGGACCGAACCGACUAAUGUUGAAAAAUUAGCGGAUGACCUGUGGCUGGGGGUGAAAGGCCAAUCAAACCGGGAGAUAGCUGGUUCUCCCCGAAAGCUAUUUAGGUAGCGCCUCGUGAAUUCAUCUCCGGGGGUAGAGCACUGUUUCGGCUAGGGGGCCAUCCCGGCUUACCAACCCGAUGCAAACUGCGAAUACCGGAGAAUGUUAUCACGGGAGACACACGGCGGGUGCUAACGUCCGUCGUGAAGAGGGAAACAACCCAGACCGCCAGCUAAGGUCCCAAAGUCAUGGUUAAGUGGGAAACGAUGUGGGAAGGCCCAGACAGCCAGGAUGUUGGCUUAGAAGCAGCCAUCAUUUAAAGAAAGCGUAAUAGCUCACUGGUCGAGUCGGCCUGCGCGGAAGAUGUAACGGGGCUAAACCAUGCACCGAAGCUGCGGCAGCGAACGUAUCACUUAAAGCGAUUCAGCGGGUUACGAUUGACGGAGCGAAGCGACGUCAAAGCGUAUACAAAGUCGAGUCGGUUUAAGGAUACGUUCGUUGGGUAGGGGAGCGUUCUGUAAGCCUGCGAAGGUGGCCUGUGAGGGUUGCUGGAGGUAUCAGAAGUGCGAAUGCUGACAUAAGUAACGAUAAAGCGGGUGAAAAGCCCGCUCGCCGGAAGACCAAGGGUUCCUGUCCAACGUUAAUCGGGGCAGGGUGAGUCGACCCCUAAGGCGAGGCCGAAAGGCGUAGUCGAUGGGAAACGGGUUAAUAUUCCCGUACUUGGUGUUACUGCGAAGGGGGGACGGAGAAGGCUAUGUUGGCCGGGCGACGGUUGUCCCGGUUUAAGCGUGUAGGUGUGUGUUCCAGGUAAAUCCGGUUCACUUUAACACUGAGGCGUGAUGACGAGGCACUACGGUGCUGAAGCAACAAAUGCCCUGCUUCCAGGAAAAGCCUCUAAGCAUCAGGUAACAUCAAAUCGUACCCCAAACCGACACAGGUGGUCAGGUAGAGAAUACCAAGGCGCUUGAGAGAACUCGGGUGAAGGAACUAGGCAAAAUGGUGCCGUAACUUCGGGAGAAGGCACGCUGACACGUAGGUGAAGUGAUUUACUCAUGGAGCUGAAGUCAGUCGAAGAUACCAGCUGGCUGCAACUGUUUAUUAAAAACACAGCACUGUGCAAACACGAAAGUGGACGUAUACGGUGUGACGCCUGCCCGGUGCCGGAAGGUUAAUUGAUGGGGUCAGCGCAAGCGAAGCUCCUGAUCGAAGCCCCGGUAAACGGCGGCCGUAACUAUAACGGUCCUAAGGUAGCGAAAUUCCUUGUCGGGUAAGUUCCGACCUGCACGAAUGGCGUAAUGAUGGCCAGGCUGUCUCCACCCGAGACUCAGUGAAAUUGAACUCGCUGUGAAGAUGCAGUGUACCCGCGGCAAGACGGAAAGACCCCGUGAACCUUUACUAUAGCUUGACACUGAACAUUGAGCCUUGAUGUGUAGGAUAGGUGGGAGGCUUUGAAGCGUGGACGCCAGUCUGCGUGGAGCCGACCUUGAAAUACCACCCUUUAAUGUUUGAUGUUCUAACGUGGACCCGUAAUCCGGGUUGCGGACAGUGUCUGGUGGGUAGUUUGACUGGGGCGGUCUCCUCCUAAAGAGUAACGGAGGAGCACGAAGGUUGGCUAAUCCUGGUCGGACAUCAGGAGGUUAGUGCAAUGGCAUAAGC